UUGCUAAGUUUGAUGGCGACCGGCGCACGGGUGAGUAACACGUAUCCAACCUGCCGAUGACUCGGGGGUAGCCUUUCGAAAGAAAGAUUAAUACCCGAUGGCAUAGUUCUUCCGCAUGGUAGAACUAUUAAAGAAUUUCGGUCAUCGAUGGGGAUGCGUUCCAUUAGGUUGUUGGCGGGGUAACGGCCCACCAAGCCUUCGAUGGAUAGGGGUUCUGAGAGGAAGGUCCCCCACAUUGGAACUGAGACACGGUCCAAACUCCUACGGGAGGCAGCAUG
rnacentral:rRNA from 1 species